GUCGCGCUUGCGUACUCGCUCCCUCACACUACACUCGCUACAGCCCCCAAGGCUACGGUGGUACGCUCGACGAGAGGCGACAAGCUUAUCACAUAUUGUUUUGAAGGUGUCUGCUCAUCCUUUUAACUCUCAGGACCAAUUACGUGAGCGUACAUCGAAGACUGCCCUUCAUUAUUGUGCUGUGUGAAACAUUGUUAGGACCCUUUGGCAGCUCAAUAUAUCAUAUGAGAUAUGCAGACAUUAGAAGCUCUAUUGGAGAAAAAAAUACCUGAUGAUUAUAUGAAAAAUUACAAGAAAACAAUUCACUCAAAGCUGCAAAACAGUCCCGACACAGUCAGGAGUGAGUCUAACGGAUGUGAUCAACCCUUGCAAAAUGGAGACAAUAUUGUGAUUUCCCCACUAGACAGUCUUGUUUCUCCGAGUCCGGUUGUGAAGACCAUGCCCCUUGCUGCUCUGUCUUCUAAUGGAGUUGCAGGACAUGGGAGUUUCAAACUUGUGCCUUCGCCUGAAGGAGGCAUUGCCCAGCUUAAAUCAGGUGUAUUGCAAAUUAGGGCAGUUGGUGCAAAUAAUAGAAUUGUUGGCACUCAUAAUCGAAGAAUUCUCCCAGCUACUAAUGGUGACUUGGAGGAAACCCUCAGACUGCUUGCACCGAGUAGCAAUGGUGAUGGUCGAAAAAAAUUUAAAAUAACUACUGUGCCUAAAAUGGUUCCACUGAUAAAUACAGUUGGAAAUCAAUCCAAACUUUUGCCUUUCCAAGCAUCUGAGGUUUCACCUCAAUUGAAACCUUCCCUAAAACUUUCAUCAAUAUUAGAAGCAAGAUUAUCAUCAAAGCAGGUGGCAGGACCUUCCUCCAUCUCCAGUCGUGAUCCUGAAUCAAUAUCUUUAUCUAAGAACAAUAGUGUAUCAGAAUCACAGGAAAGCUUAAUCUUGGAUGCAUCAACAACUACUCUUGAAAAGGUACCUCAAAACCAAGGUUAUACAGUUCAAAGGAAUCGGAAAACAACCAUUAGUUUUGAAAGAGGAGCGACUAGGAUUGUCUCAACAAAGGCGAAGAACACUCAGACCGUAGAUAUUGGAGUGCAAGUCUAUAUGCCAGAUCCUGAGGAAGAUCUUGAAGGCAACCAGGUUCACUUACCAAACCCAAUACCGCCCCUGCAACCCAUCUCAUCAACUGCAGGUCCUAUGCAUCCUGCAACUUCAAUUUCUACUUUGCCUCAGAGUGAAUAUGUUAUUGUUGACACAAAGAAUGGGAAAAGGAUACUAUCCAUCCCAAAACAAAUGGCUGGCACAAAGACGACGUUUGUUAUAGAUGGAAAAAUUGCUUCCAUUUCCCAACCAAGUAAUAGUAGUGUAACAUCUUCUAAGAGCAUUUUGCUGUCAGAUCCCCACUUGGGCCAAAAUAGGUCCAAUUUAGUGACUGCUGCUUCAUUGACCUGUGACACUGUCACAACACCAAGCAUAUCUACUCCUCUCCAAGUCCCUAGCAGUAACUCUUUUAUUUUGUCAGUUCCGACUCCAACAGGAGCAUCUAGAAGCAUGCAGACAGUAAUCGGCUCUAGUGCAUUGAGCUUUAAUCAUAAGGUUCCAUCUGAUAGGUUAGUCUUGCCCUUAAAUUCUCCUGUAACAUUUGAGGGGAAAUUGAGUUCAAUGGACUCACCAGCAGAUUCAGUUGCUUCAUCCCAGUCACGUUUCCAGAUUACUGCUAAUUCUGAUUCAAUAGUUCUGCCUCUUAAUUCUCCAAUCAAGUCUUCAAAUAUCAGAAGACAAAAUAAUAGUGAAAUAUGCACAAUCCCAAAUACUACUUCCUUGUUUAUCAUGGUACCAAAUGACAGAAACCUAGCAACAUCUCUUGAUGAAGCAGGUGAAGCUAUUUCUAGUUCAAACAUAUUGAAACGGAAAGCAGCAGUUUUGAAAAACGAUUUUCCAUCAUUGAAAAAAAGAUGCCCAGAGCUUUUAAAGAGUUCUAGUGAUACUGUUGAGGCUUGUGAAAAGGGAGGCGUGCAGCAACACCGCAAUGGACAGAUCCACACUUCACCAGACUCUGCUUUGAACCCAAAUGAGUUCUCAGCUCCACCUUCAAAAGAAGAUAUAAACUGUCUAGUGAAAAAUGCUUUCUUAGAAUUCAGAAAUUGUUUGGUACCUGAUAAGGAUGGCAAACUACCUAUUCAUUUGGCUGUUGAGAAUAAUGAUCUUGCUGCAGUUAAACGUCAAUGUAUUGUAUUAAAAGCUCGUAGGUCGUCAAUUGACAUACCUACUUCAAAAGAUGAGAGCCCACUUCAGCUAGCCCUGUACCAUGGGCACUGUUCAAUUGCUGCCUUACUGCUUCAACAUGGUGCAGAUGCUUCAAUCACUGACCAAGAAGGCAACACAGCACUUCACCUUGCUGUAAUGCAUGCUGAAGAUAUUUUUGAGUCUGUGUUCCUUUCUCGGCAAUAUACCAUAGAAUUUGUAAAUAAUCUAAAUGAUGAAGGGUUCGCUGCUCUUCACCUUGCAGCUCAACAGGACAAAAUAAGUGCAAUUCAAUGGCUUAUAAAUCAUGGGGCUGAAGUUGACCUUCCUCUGGGCAUCACUGGAUUUAUAAGAGGUCACAGCUACAGCGUUGUUAUUUUACAGAUUCAUGUGGGUUGGAUGCUCUUUUGGUCUCUAGAAAGACGUUGUGAAAUUAGUCUCUAGUAUCCCCCUCGUGAACCUGUAGAACAACAAGUCUGUAGGUGGAUUCUUGUGUGGCUUGAAGACAUUACACUCAGCCAUGCAGAAAUGUCACCUGAUGUGCUUCAGAUUGAGUAGAUGGAACAUGUGGAAGAACAGCACUAUUUCUUGCUAUUGAACGCAAGAGUUACAGAGCCCAAAAAGCUCUUCUAGCUAGUGGAGCCGAUAUGAGGGAGCCAACAUUCUCAGGUUCAACUCCCUUCCAUCUUACGAAAGCA
rnacentral:misc_RNA from 1 species